rnacentral:rRNA from 1 species
AGAGACAGCAGCAGCCGCGGUAAUACGAAGGGUGCAAGCGUUACUCGGAAUUACUGGGCGUAAAGCGUGCGUAGGCGGUGAGUUAAGUCUGCUGUGAAAUCCCCGGGCUCAACCUGGGAAUGGCAGUGGAUACUGGCUCGCUAGAGUGUGUCAGAGGAUGGUGGAAUUCCCGGUGUAGCGGUGAAAUGCGUAGAGAUCGGGAGGAACAUCAGUGGCGAGGCGGCCAUCUGGGACAACACUGACGCUGAGGCACGAAAGCGUGGGGAGCAGACAGGAUUAGAUACCCCCGUAGUCCCUGUCUCUUAUACA